AUGAUACGCGAGGAACCGUUACCUGGGCUUAAAUGCUUAUGACGUACUGGGAAACUGGUAUUUCUUCGGACAUUUUGCAAGGUGCUGCAUGGUUGUCGUCAGCUCGUGCCGUGAGGUGUCGGGUUAAGUCCCAUAACGAGCGCAACCCCUAUUGUUAGUUGCCAUCAGGUCAUGCUGGGGACGUCUAACAAAACUAGCCCGCGUAAGCGUGGAGGAAGGUGGGGAUGACGUCAAAUCAGCACGGCCCUUACGUCCAGGGCUACACACGUGCUACAAUGGCCGGUACAGAGGGCAGCCACUUGGUGACAAGGAGCAAAUCUCAAAAGCCGGUCUCAGUUCGGAUCGGAGGUCUGCAACUCGACUCCGUGAAGUUGGAUUCGCUAGUAAUCGUAGAUCAGCAAUGCUACGGUGAAUACGUUCCCGGGCCUU
rnacentral:rRNA from 1 species